rnacentral:rRNA from 1 species
AACGAACGCUGGCGGCAUGCCUAACACAUGCAAGUCGAACGAGACCUUCGGGUCUCGUGGCGCACGGGUGCGUAACGCGUGGGAACCUGCCCUUAGGUUCGGAAUAACUCCCCGAAAGGGGUGCUAAUACCGGAUAAUGUCUUCGGACCAAAGAUUUAUCGCCUUUGGAUGGGCCCGCGUUGGAUUAGCUAGUUGGUAGGGUAAAAGCCUACCAAGGCGACGAUCCAUAGCUGGUCUGAGAGGCUGAUCAGCCACACUGGGACUGAGACACGGCCCAGACUCCUACGGGAGGCAGCAGUGGGGAAUAUUGGACAAUGGGCGAAAGCCUGAUCCAGCAAUGCCGCGUGAGUGAUGAAGGCCUUAGGGUUGUAAAGCUCUUUUACCCGGGAUGAUAAUGACAGUACCGGGAGAAUAAGCUCCGGCUAACUCCGUG